rnacentral:rRNA from 1 species
UGGGGAAUUUUGGACAAUGGGGGAAACCCUGAUCCAGCCAUCCCGCGUGUGCGAUGAAGGCCUUCGGGUUGUAAAGCACUUUUGGCAGGAAAGAAACGUCAUGGGUUAAUACCCCGUGAAACUGACGGUACCUGCAGAAUAAGCACCGGCUAACUACGUGCCAGCAGCCGCGGUAAUACGUAGGGUGCAAGCGUUAAUCGGAAUUACUGGGCGUAAAGCGUGCGCAGGCGGUUCGGAAAGAAAGAUGUGAAAUCCCAGAGCUCAACUUUGGAACUGAAUUGUUAAUUACCGGGCUAGAGUGUGUCAGAGGGAGGUGGAAUUCCGCGUGUAGCAGUGAAAUGCGUAGAUAUGCGGAGGAAAACCGGUGGCGAAGGCAGCCUCCUGGGAUAAAACUGAAGCUCAUGAACGAAAGCGUGGGGAGCAAACAGG